rnacentral:tRNA from 1 species
GCCCCCGCUCAACGGACGAGGCCCCCCUGUCGAAAGGGGGGAUCGAGGGUUCAAGUCCCUCCGGGGGCG